rnacentral:rRNA from 1 species
AUUGAACGCUGGCGGCAGGCCUAACACAUGCAAGUCGAACGAGUGGCGGACGGGUGAGUAAUGUCUGGGAAACUGCCUGAUGGAGGGGGAUAACUACUGGAAACGGUAGCUAAUACCGCAUACCAUCGGUUGUGCACAGAUGGGAUUAGCUAGUAGGUGGGGUAAAGGCUCACCUGGGCGACGAUCCCUAGCUGGUCUGAGAGGAUGACGAGCCACACGGGAACUGAGCCACGGCCCAGACUCCUACGGUAGGCAGCAGUGGGGAAUAUUGCACAAUGGGGGCAAGCCUGAUGCAGCCAGGCCGCGGGGAUGAAGAAGGCCUUCGGGUUGUAAAGUACUUUCAGCGGGGAGGCGUUACCCGAAGAAGAAGCACCGGCUAACUCCGUGCCAGCCGCCGCGGUAAUUC